CCUACGGGUGGCAGCAGUGAGGAAUAUUGGUCAAUGGCCGGAAGCCUGAACCAGCCAAGCCGCGUGAGGGAGUAAGGCCCUGAGGGUCGUAAACCUCUUUUGCCGGGGAACAAAGGCGGGGACGGGUCCGGGCCUGAGGGUACCCCGAGAAAAAGCAUCGGACAAAUCCGUUCCAGCAGCCGCCGUAAUACGGAGGAUGCGAGCGUUAUCCGGAUUUAGUGGGUUUUAAGGGGGCGCAGGCGGGCUUUUAAGCCAGCGGUAAAAGAGCGGGGAUCAACCCCGGCGGGCCGUUGAAACUGGGGGCCUUGAGUGGGCGAGAGGAAGGCGGAAUGCGUGGUGUAGCGGUGAAAUGCAUAGAUAUCGCGCAGAACCCCGAUUGCGAAGGCAGCCUGCCGGCGCCCUACUGACGCUGAGGCACGAAAGUGCGGGGAUCGAACAGGAUUAGAUACCCCGGUAGUC
rnacentral:rRNA from 1 species